rnacentral:rRNA from 1 species
UACGGAGGGUGCAAGCGUUGCUCGGAAUUAUUGGGCGUAAAGGGUAGGUAGGUGGUCUCAUUUGUCUGGGGUGAAAGCCUUGAGCUUAACUCGAGAAGUGCCCCAGAAACGGUGAGACUAGAGUCCUGGAGAGGGUCGUGGAAUUCCCGGUGUAGCGGUGAAAUGCGUAGAGAUCGGGAGGAACACCAGAAGCGAAGGCGGCGACCUGGACAGGCACUGACACUCAACUACGAAAGCGUGGGGAGCAAACAGG